UUAUCAGACGUGUCACAAGGUUGUUCUAACAAGUCUGAUACAGUCAUGAUAUAACAAGAAUGUUACAACUUACAAGGUUGAUGACACAUGGUUGUAACAAUACUGCUAUAUCAUGACUGUAUUGGACUUGUUGGAACAACCUUGGAACAAGUCUGAUAA